rnacentral:rRNA from 1 species
CAAUAGCGUAUAUUAAUGUUGUUGCAGUUAAAAAGCUCGUAGUUGGAUUUCUGGUGGGAGCGGCCGGUCCGCCGUAAGGUGUGUACUUGGUUGUCUCCUGUCAUCCUUGUGGGAACUGCUCUGGCAUUAAGUUGUCGGGGUUAGGGAACACAUCGUUUACUGUGAAAAAAUUAGAGUGUUUAAAGCAGGCUUAUGCCGUUGAAUACAUUAGCAUGGAAUAAUAAGAUAGGACUUUGGCGUCUAUUUUGUUGGUUUGCACACCAAGGUAAUGAUUAAUAGGGAUAGUUGGGGGUAUUCGUAUUUAAUUGUCAGAGGUGAAAUUCUUGGAUUCAUGAAAGACGAACUUCUGCGAAAGCAUUUACCAAAGAUGUUUUCAUUAA